rnacentral:rRNA from 1 species
UACGAGGGGGGCAAGCGUUGUUCGGAAUUAUUGGGCGUAAAGGGCGCGUAGGCGGUGCGGUAAGUCACCUGUGAAAACUCUGGGCUCAACUCAGAGCCUGCAGGCGAAACUGCCGUGCUUGAGUGUGGGAGAGGUGCGUGGAAUUCCCGGUGUAGCGGUGAAAUGCGUAGAUAUCGGGAAGAACACCGAUGGCGAAAGCAGUCUGCUGGGCUCAUCCUGACACUGAGACACGAAAGCGUGGGUAGCGAACGGG